GCUGCCGUGCGACGGGCGACAAAGGAAGGUAGCAAAGUAACAAAAUGCCAUCAUCAUCAGUCUUUUUGUCUGCCAACAAGGACACUUCUCCCACACAAACACCCACAUCACCCACAAGCACAGCCACAUCCCCGCCCCGUUGACACUGACACUUAUGCAAUGCGGGCACGAGUACGAAUGCGAACAAGGCGCACUUAGAGAUUACUGAUGCUCUUCCUUCCGGGCGCCACCCACCGCCGCCCACUUCCACCCAUCGGCUGCGAAAUGAAUGGCCACGCAACCUUGCACUUUGUGCACUCGACAAACCACCACAAGGUCCGCCCUAUGCCCUCCAAUUCCUGCCAGAAUCAGAGACGCUGUUUCUGUGCUCGCCAGGGGCGAAUGGUUCGAAUGUUUUUCGGGGACUUCCCCAAUCAACGGACAUUUGGAAUGUGCCACUUUGGGGCAACCGAAAUCAAUUCAUUACGGAGCAGCAAUUAGUCGCAGAUUAAAAGUGUGUACCGUGUUCAUGAUAGAGUGCAUGGGGUAAAGGUCCUUUGUGGGCUAUUCCCAUGCGGUGAUUCAUAUCUCUUGCAUGGCAUGGCAGUAAAUUUUGCUUCAUUAAAAUCGGAUGACUGUAGAAUUGGGCAGUAUUUUUGGAAAGAGCGUUAACGAGCUUUUGUAGCCAUUUCCGGUUUCAUACUAAAAUUUUUAACUGCCUUGAUUUAAGUAUUAGUUCUGCAGUAUAAACUGGUGGAAAUGGUACCCCCUUUCCAGCGACCUCCACUGACAUUCGGUUCAGAUGAUGGCUGCCACUGACAUCGCUGCUCCGCUGACGUUAAGCCCCAUCGAGGAAGCAUGUCUGGGAAAGUUUCGCUUAAUUGCGCGGGAAAGCCGAACAAACAAGUCCUUGCUCGGUUGGUAUUUAAAGGACAGCACCUGCAGUUGAAGCCCCAAAAACACACUCUUCACCUUUAACAACAACAGACAUAUUUUGCUAUAAACGAUACACCGAGAGAAAAGCAUCAAUAUGAAAGGAUAUUUUCUAUGUAUGUCUAAAGAGCGUGGUCUUAACUUAACUCGUUUUUUGAACCUUCUUCAUAUCUGACUCGAUGGCUUUAUGGAUUCCUAGAGUAUUUCUGUGUUGAUCUUUGUUUAUAUUUAGGUCACGCCCCCACAAAAAUAAUUCGGUGGGGGAGCAAAUCGGGCGGAAUAAUUUUGCAAGUCACAAAUUAGCAUAUUCGACUGCUGACGCCUUUUUGGAUAGACAGGCGGUGAUUCUGAAGGCUCUCGACUUGGGGCUUCUCUCUUUCUCUACUUUUUGCUGGCAAGCGGAUUGCGGCGAUCCCAGAACUAAACGAAUUGUGUAUGUAUUAAUUUGCGUCACUCAAACGUCAGCAACAAGCUCAAAAGGUGACAAAAGCCAGGAUGAAUGAGGGUAGGAGCUGGAUUAGGGGGCACAAGGAUGGCCGCCAGGAGAGCCAAUGAGGUAGGUGAGCGAGAGAAAGCGAUGAUGACGAGAUUUGCCAUUGUUGUUGCUGCCGAUAUGAAAAGUGUCCGCCACAGGUGACUUAAUGUGCCACAAGCAGAUACGACAUACACACAGCCGUGGGUUGGGAGGGCGGCAGUCCUGUCUUGGCCGAGGCGCAGGAUACACAGCCACAUCCACAUCCCUGCGCCCUGCUUUGCCUUGCCUGCCUUUCCUUUCCUUUGGCUUUAACGUCAGCCAGCCCGUAGCUUUUUGUCUGUCUUUAUUGAUUUCAGCAGCUUUUAUAUUCGUAUUAGGCGGACGGACGGAUGGGCUCCAUUUGGAGAAUGGAUUUCGGGCAGGACACUUUCUAAUUAGUUUCGCAGGCGAUGGUCGCUGGCAACGCAAUCACACACCCACAUCCGAAAAAAAGGACACCAUAACUAGUGGAAUAACAGCGAAAAAUAAUGUUGCACACACGCACACACAUACGCUCGCAAACAAACCAAUACAUGCAUACAUCUAUACGUGUGCAUAAACAAGGAUUCCCCCACUGCGUAUACGUAAUGUCCUACCGUGUUAUCCUUAACGAAGCGUUGUGAGGCAUUUGUUGCUGAUCCUGCUGCUGCUCGAUGUUGUGCUGCGGCGCUUUAUUUGUAUGGAAGGCACUGUAAUUUACAGUUAGAUCGUUGCUGCGCCGCCUUUUCAAUAUAUUUAAUUUAGCAAAUAUGUAUUUCGUGUGCAGAAUGACUCGUCGUACACUUGUAAAAACACUUUAAAAACUCCUCGAACUAUUUUGUUGAUAUUGUCAAAUGUGCGCGCGUGUGUGUGUGUGUGUGUGUGCGAGUGUGCGGUCGGUGUUUGUAUGUAUGAGUGUCGGGUGGGGUGGGGGCGAAAAAAAGGUAAAAUGAAACUCAAGGCGCGACGUGCAGGGACUGUUCCUCAGCGGCGCACAUUACUCGACAGGACCACGGCGGAAGACUGUGUCAGGGAAAAAUCCGCCGGAGCUCCGGCCGCAAAGUCGCACUCCGAAGUCAAGAGUCCUCGCGCGCGAGAGAGCAGAGAGACUUGGCGAGCGAGUGAGAGAGAGAGCUUUGCGCUGGAGCUUUCCGCACUCUGACUUUCGCUUUCAGUCGGCAGGACAUCAGGACUGAGGACUCAAGGCUGGGACUGGGACUGGGCCUGGGAACUCAGUCGGCACAGGUCAGAAAUCGGGGGAUACCGCCAAACAUCCCUUGGCGGACUGACCUACAGCUACCCCAGUGCGGCUAAUCCUUGAUUCCAAUUUGUUCUUAGAUUCGCCGCUCUACAGUCAAACCCCCAUAAAGUUUCCUGUUCGAUAUUAAAUAUGUGUGUCAGCUAUAUGUAGCUGUAAUGUUUACCAUUCAGUGAAAAGCCAAUGAUAAACGAGUGCAGUCUAAAUACUAACAUUCUCUUUAUUUAAAUAUUCCUUUGUAUAAGAUUAAAAUGCAUGAUGUACUAGUUAAUAGUUGCAACUGGUAUUGGAUUUUUCCAUGGUAUACUUUUUAUAUGUAACCUAUGCGCUUAGUUCGUUAAUUUACGUGUUUUGUAGUUUUGUGGUUGCUUUUGCUCACUCUGUUCGAAAUGAAUGCAGAAUACUGUAACUUGUUACGUGUACAUUACAAAUUAAAAAUUACAAAUGGGUAAUCAUACGUUUUAUGCAUCGUUUUU